rnacentral:rRNA from 1 species
AGCGAGCGCAGACGGUUGGUUAAGUCUGAUGUGAAAGCCCGGAGCUCAACUCCGGAAAGGCAUUGAAAACUGGUUAACUUGAGUGCAGUAGAAGAAAAUGGAACUCCAUGUGUAGCGGUAGAAUGCGUAGAUAUAUGGAAGAACACCAGCGGCGAAGGCGGCUUACUGGACUGUAACUGACGUUGAGGCUCGAAAGUGUGGGUAGCAAACAGGAUUAGAUACCCUGGUAGUCCACACCGUAAACGAUGAACACUAGUGUUAGGAGGUUUCCACCUCUUAAUGCCGAAGCUAACGCAUUAAGUGUUCCGCCUGGGGAGUACGACCGCCAAGGGGGAAACUCAAAGGAAUUGAAGGGGACCCCCACAAGCGGUGGAGCAUGUGGUUUAAUUCGAACCAACGCGAAGACCCUUACCAAGGUCUUGCCAUCCUUUGAAGCUUUUAGAAAUAGAAGUGUUCUCUUCGGAGACAAAGUGACAGGUGGUGCAUGGUCGUCGUCAGCUCGUGUCGUGAGAUGUUGGGUUAAGUCCCGCAACGAGCGCAACCCUUAUUGUUAGUUGCCAGCAUUCAGAUGGGCACUCUAGCGAGACUGCCGGUGACAAACCGGAGGAAGGCGGGGACGACGUCAGAUCAUCAUGCCCCUUAUGACCUGGGCUACACACGUGCUACAAUGGCGUAUACAACGAGUUGCCAACCUGCGAAGGUGAGCUAAUCUCUUAAAGUACGUCUCAGUUCGGACUGCAGUCUGCAACUCGACUGCACGAAGUCGGAAUCGCUAGUAAUCGCGGAUCAGCACGCCGCGGUGAAUACGUUCCCGGGUCUUGCACUCGACCGCCCGUCA